AAUUUCGAAGAUCGAUUAUUAAAAAGGGUUUUACCCCACGUGUCAACUUCCUAUUGCAAAUGCAUUUAUUAUUUAUUUAUUUUUUAUUUUUAUUUUUUUCUUUUUUCUUUUUCUUUUCUUUUGUUUCUCUCGUCGAAAACGAAGGAGACUGAAGGUGGGAGAAAGAAGUGAAUCAGAAUCCGGCGAUCGGAUAGCGUGCGAAGAGAGGAGAACGACGGAGGAGUUUGGAGGAAGUUACAAUGGGAAUCUCAAAGAAAUCGUCAAACGUUUGUACUUCCCGAUCCUCCUCACGUCGUGAACCGCCGCAAAUUGACUUGGCACGGGCGUUUUCUCAGGUGCAGAGUGCGGUGAAGCCGAUUAAGAAAGAUGCGAAGAGGGCUGUGAUGAAGAAGAAUCUUUUGAAGAAUUUGAAUGUGGUGUUGAAGUUGAACCCGUAUGCAAAGACGGCGAAGCGGAUGUCUUUGUUGGCUGAGGCACAGAGGGUUAAGGCUAAGAAGGAGAAGCUCACCAAGAAGAAGAAAACUGUCACCAUUAUUCUUAUGUGUACCAUUGGGAGUGGAAGAUGCGGGUACUAGCUCAUUGUGGACAUGUCUUUGUGCAGUGUAAAGAUGUCUUGUUCCAUCUCUUUGUUUGAAGAUAGGUGAAGAAGAGUGAAAAGUCAUCAGUCAUCAGUCACAGACUUGGGUAGGUCAAGAAGAGUGUAAAGUCAUCUUCUGUAUAUCAGUCACGGACUUUUGUUCAGUUCUUGUUCUGUAUUUUAGUAAUCACUUGUCUUGAAACAAGACUCUCUGAUAUCUUUCUCUUCUCAUUCACUGUCUCGGUUUGAUCAGUCUCCACCUCAGACUCACUAUUAUUGUUGUUGUUAGAACCACCAACACCACCACCAUGCUGCUUCCUCUUGGACCGAGCACGCCGGUUCUGGAACCAGUUGUAGAACGUUUUGCUCAGCGAUCUGGCCGUGUUGGCUAAGCUCUUCGGUUAUCUCUUUGAUCUUUUGUUGUUUGUAAGCAAAGUGUAUUUAGAAACUUGUAUAAAUGAAAAUGUAUUGUCAAGUUCACAAACAUUCA